rnacentral:rRNA from 1 species
CUACGGGUUGCAGCAGUGGGGAAUAUUGGACAAUGGGGGAAACCCUGAUCCAGCAAUGCCGCGUGUGUGAAGAAGGCCUGCGGGUUGUAAAGCACUUUCGGUUGGGAGGACUGCUUCUAGCACUAAUAUUGUUGGAAGUUGACGUUACCUUCAGAAGAAGCACCGGCUAACUCCGUGCCAGCAGCCGCGGUAAUACGGAGGGUGCAAGCGUUAAUCGGAAUUACUGGGCGUAAAGCGCGCGUAGGCGGCUAGAUCAGUCGGGUGUGAAAGCCCCGGGCUUAACCUGGGAACUGCAUCCGAUACUGUCUAGCUAGAGUACAGGAGAGGAGAGUGGAAUUCCACAUGUAGCGGUGAAAUGCGUAGAUAUGUGGAGGAACACCAAUGGCGAAGGCAGCUCUCUGGCCUGAUACUGACGCUGAGGUGCGAAAGCGUUGGGAGCAAACAGGAUUAGAUACCCCUGUAGUC